rnacentral:RNase_P_RNA from 2 species
GUCCCAUUAAAGUCUGUAUUUACCUGCCUACAAAAGGAGGAUUCUCUUUGGAGUAGACUCAGUAGACAAACACAACGCAGGUGGGAAAUUCGGUGGUUCGCACUGUCCAACUUGGGCAGAGAGUACUUGUGAUUCUCUGUCUAGAUCUCUUGAGAGAUUCCUGGCGUGGAAACGCUUGGGUGUUGCCAUAAGAAAUCAAACCAGUCUAGGCUGGUUAUGGGAGGCUUCACGGGCAGUUGGUCCACUUACUAUUCAGUGGUGGGCUGUUGAGUGCAAUAUACAGACUGUGACUUGUUCAUAGAACCCGAUACCGAUUAUUUUAGUGGGAC